rnacentral:lncRNA from 1 species
AAUUGGGCGGGGCCAGAUAAGCCAGAGUCCCAGGGUCUUGUUCACGCCCCAUUACCGCCCCCAGGUUCCUCGACCAAGGUCUGGACGACAACUAUUGCCGGAAUCCUGACGGCUCCGAGCGGCCAUGGUGCUACACUACGGAUCCGCAGAUCGAGCGAGAGUUCUGUGACCUCCCCCGCUGCGGUAGGCGGCGGGGACCAGGCCUGGGAGGGUACCUGGGAACCUUGGGGAGGGGCGUGGCUUGGCCGGGGAGGUAAGAGGGGCUGGGCGUGACCUGAGAGCAUACCCCGUGGAGUACCGUACACCUGGGAAAGGCGGGUUUGGUCCCAGCCCCAGAGGGAUCUCAGCUCUCGCUCGGGGCCCGACCUAUCUCGGUCCAUCUAAGGGUCCGAGGCACAGCCCCGCCAAGAGGCCACAACUGUCAGCUGCUUCCGCGGGAAGGGUGAGGGCUACCGGGGCACAGCCAAUACCACCACUGCGGGCGUACCUUGCCAGCGUUGGGACGCGCAAAUCCCGCAUCAGCACCGAUUUACGCCAGAAAAAUACGCGUGCAAGUGAGGUGGGGGGGGGGGGCGGGCGUUGGGACGUGCUGCUGCGGGUGAGACGGGAGGAAGGUAGUCACGGGCUCAAGGCUGGAGGCUGGCGGGCUAGGGCUGAGUGGAGCGCCUGCUUAGAGACCUUCGGGAGAACUUCUGCCGGAACCCCGACGGCUCAGAGGCGCCCUGGUGCUUCACACUGCGGCCCGGCAUGCGCGCGGCCUUUUGCUACCAGAUCCGGCGUUGUACAGACGACGUGCGGCCCCAGGGUGAGGCCCAAGCUUGGGGGCUACAGAGCCGGGCUGGAAGCCUGGAACCGGAGGGCCGGGGCGAGGUCUCGGCCUGAUGGCUGCCCGCACCCGCCACAGACUGCUACCACGGCGCAGGGGAGCAGUACCGCGGCACGGUCAGCAAGACCCGCAAGGGUGUCCAGUGCCAGCGCUGGUCCGCUGAGACGCCGCACAAGCCGCAGUGAGUCCCUGGUGCUCCCGGCCCCGCCAGGGCCCUAACCCUGGGGCGGCAUGCUUUGGUGUCUGGGACCAGAGCCUGGAAAUGGUUGAGACUACCCUGCCACGAUUUUGCUCCCGCUUCCGCCUAGGUUCACGUUUACCUCCGAACCGCAUGCACAACUGGAGGAGAACUUCUGCCGGAACCCAGAUGGGGAUAGCCAUGGGCCCUGGUGCUACACGAUGGACCCAAGGACCCCAUUCGACUACUGUGCCCUGCGACGCUGCGCUGAUGACCAGCCGCCAUCAAUCCUGGACCCCCCAGGUUAGGAGUUGGGCCAGUUAUGGGUCAGGCCCUUUAGCCCACGACAUCCACACAGUCUGGGUUUCAUCCAGCCCACCCCAUCCUACAGACCAGGUGCAGUUUGAGAAGUGUGGCAAGAGGGUGGAUCGGCUGGAUCAGCGGCGUUCCAAGCUGCGCGUGGUUGGGGGCCAUCCGGGCAACUCACCCUGGACAGUCAGCUUGCGGAAUCGGUGAGGCACAACUGCCUGUCUCCCACAGAGAGGAGCUGAGGUUGUGUCCUCUGUGGUUAUCCCACUGGGGGCUGGGAAUCUAUCCCUGCCCCCAGAGGUCCUAGCCAGAAGAUGGCAGGUCUAGCAUCUGUCCCAGGAGUCUGUUACCUGUCCUAAUUCCCCACUCCUCUAGGCAGGGCCAGCAUUUCUGCGGGGGGUCUCUAGUGAAGGAGCAGUGGAUACUGACUGCCCGGCAGUGCUUCUCCUCCUGGUGAGCCUCCCUUGUGUUUGGGGACCCAGUCUCAUCCCACCUUCCCCCUUCCCCAGGCAAGCUAACAAGUGAGCCUUGGGGCAAUGGACUGAGAGUCACAAAUGACCUAGCAGAGCUUCUCUCCCAGCCAUAUGCCUCUCACGGGCUAUGA